GAGUUUGAUCCUGGCUCAGAUUGAACGCUGGCGGCAUGCCUUACACAUGCAAGUCGAACGGCAGCACGGGAGCUUGCUCCUGGUGGCGAGUGGCGAACGGGUGAGUAAUGCAUCGGAACGUAUCCUGGAGUGGGGGAUAACGUAGCGAAAGUUACGCUAAUACCGCAUAUUCUGUGAGCAGGAAAGCGGGGGACCUUCGGGCCUCGCGCUCUUGGAGCGGCUGAUGUCGGAUUAGCUAGUUGGUGAGGUAAAGGCUCACCAAGGCGACGAUCCGUAGCAGGUCUGAGGAGAUGAUCGUCGCCACACGUAGGAACUGAGAC
rnacentral:rRNA from 1 species